ACCCUUUAACAAACUCACUCAUGAAUUUUAGAAUGCACCCAGUGUGGAAAAUGGGGAACUGAAAACCAAACCAAAUAUAAAGAUAUCCGGAAACCUGAUUACAAUUGACCGGAAACAGGUUGAUUGGUCCGAUGAUGAAGAAGAAGCAGAUGC